ensembl:piRNA 21ur-9530 ncRNA
UAAACAGUUUCCCGUGAUUCG